rnacentral:rRNA from 1 species
AGAGUUUGAUCAUGGCUCAGGAUAAACGCUAGCGGCAGGCCUAACACAUGCAAGCCGAGGGGCAUCGCGCGGUAGCAAUACUGUGGCGGCGACCGGCGCACGGGUGCGUAACACGUAUGCAACCAACCCUGUACACGGGGAUAUCCCGGAGAAAUUCGAAGUAAUACCCGAUAAGAUCAAGCGAAGGCAUCCGAGGUUGAUGAAAGGAAGCGAUUCGGUAUAGGACGGGCAUGCGUCCCAUUAGAUAGUUGGUGAGGUAACGGCUCACCAAGUCGACGAUGGGUAGGGGAUCUGAGAGGAUAAUCCCCCACAUUGGUACUGAGACAGGGACCAAACUCCUACGGGAGGCAGCAGUGAGGAAUAUUGGGCAAUGGAUGGAAGUCUGACCCAGCCAUGCCGCGUGCAGGAAGACGGCCCUAUGGGUUGUAAACUGCUUUUGCAGGCGGAAAAAAGCGAGAUUGCGAUCCUGUCCGAUGGUAGUCUGCGAAUAAGAAUCGGCUAACUCCGUGCCAGCAGCCGCGGUAAUACGGAGGAUUCGAGCGUUAUCCGGAAUUAUUGGGUUUAAAGGGUGCGCAGGCGGACCGUUAAGUCAGCGGUGAAAAUCUGGUGCUUAACAUCAGGAGUGCCGUUGAUACUGGCGGACUAGAGUAUGAUUGACGUAAGUGGAAUGUAGCAUGUAGCGGUGAAAUGCAUAGAGAUGCUACAGAACACCGAUAGCGAAGGCAGCUUACGAAGUCACAACUGACGCUCAGGCACGAAAGCGUGGGGAGCGAACAGGAUUAGAUACCCUGGUAGUCCACGCAGUAAACGAUGAUAACUGGCUUUUGGCGAUAGACGGUCAGAGGCUGAGAGAAAUCAAUAAGUUAUCCACCUGGGGAGUACGAUGGCAACAUUGAAACUCAAAGGAAUUGACGGGGGCCCGCACAAGCGGAGGAGCAUGUGGUUUAAUUCGAUGAUACGCGAGGAACCUUACCCGGGCUUGAACGUGACAUGAAGACUCCAGAGAUGGCGUUGCCGCAAGGCAUGUUGCGAGGUGCUGCAUGGUUGUCGUCAGCUCGUGCCGUGAGGUGUCGGGUUAAGUCCCAUAACGAGCGCAACCCUCAUUGACAGUGUACCAUCGGGUAGAGCCGGGGACUCUGUUGAGACUGCCUACGCAAGUAGAGAGGAAGGUGGGGAUGACGUCAAAUCAGCACGGCCCUUAUGUCCGGGGCGACACACGUGCUACAAUGGUGGGGACAGAGAGCAGCUUGCCGGUGACGGUUGGCGAAUCUGUAAAACCCCAUCUCAGUUCGGAUCGAAGUCUGCAACCCGACUUCGUGAAGUUGGAUUCGCUAGUAAUCGCGCAUCAGCCAUGGCGCGGUGAAUACGUUCCCGGGCCUUGUACACACCGCCCGUCAAGCCAUGGAAGUUGGGGGUACCUGAAGUUCGUGACCGCGAGGAGCGACCUAGGGUAAAACCAGUGACUGGGGCUAAGUCGUAACAAGGUAACC